UUCCGGUUGAUCCUGCCGGACCCGACUGCUAUUUGGGUGAGAAUAAGCCAUGCGAGUUGAAUGGGAUACCUAAAGUUCCCAUAGCAAACUGCUCAGUAACACAUGAUCAACUUACCCUAUAGAGAAAAAUAACCUCGGGAAACUGAGGAUAAUGUUUCAUAAUUGAAUUGGCUUGGAAAAGUUUUUCAAUGAAAAGGAUAAAAAAAAUGGUUUUUAUCUGCUAUAGGAUAGGAUCGUGUUCGAUUAUGGUUGUUGGUGAGAUAAUGGCUCACCAAGCCGAUAAUCGAUAGGGGCCGUGAGAGCGGGAGCCCCGAGAUGGGUACUGAGACAACGACCCAGGCCUUACGAGGCGCAGCAGGCGCGGAACCUCCGCAAUACACGAAAGUGUGACGGGGUUACCCAAAGUGUUCAAUAGAACUGUGGUAGGUGAGUAAUGUCCCCUACUAGAAAGGAGAGGGCAAGGCUGGCGCCAGCCGCCGCGGUAAAACCAGCUCUUCAAGUGGUCGGGAUAAUUAUUGGGCUUAAAGUGUCCGUAGCCGGUUUAGCAAGUUCCUGGUAAAAUCGGGUAGCUUAACUAUCUGUAUGCUAGGAAUACUGCUAUACUAGAGGGCGGGAGAGGUCUGAGGUACUACAGGGGUAGGGGUGAAAUCUUAUAAUCCUUGUAGGACCACCAGUGGCGAAGGCGUCAGACUGGAACGCGCCUGACGGUGAGGGACGAAAGCCAGGGGAGCGAACCGGAUUAGAUACCCGGGUAGUCCUGGCCGUAAACGAUGCAUACUAGGUGAUGGUACGGCCAUGAGCCGUAUCAGUGCCGUAGGGAAACCGUUAAGUGUGCCGCCUGGGAAGUACGGUCGCAAGGCUAAAACUUAAAGGAAUUGGCGGGGGAGCACCACAAGGGGUGAAGCCUGCGGUUCAAUUGGACUCAACGCC
rnacentral:rRNA from 1 species